GAUGAAGAACGUAGCGAAAUGCGAUACGUAAUGUGAAUUGCAAAUUCAGUGAAUCAUCGAAUCUUUGAACGCACAUUGCGCCCCCUGGUAUUCCGGGGGGCAUGCCUGUUCGAGCGUCAUUUCACCACUCAAGCCUCGCUUGGUAUUGGGCAACGCGGUCCGCCGCGUGCCUCAAAUCGACCGGCUGGGUCUUCUGUCCCCUAAGCGUUGUGGAAACUAUUCGCUAAAGGGUGUUCGGGAGGCUACGCCGUAAAACAACCCCAUUUCUAAGGUUGACCUCGGAUCAGGUAGGGAUACCCGCUGAACUUAAGCAUAUCAAUAAGCGGAGGA
rnacentral:misc_RNA from 1 species